rnacentral:rRNA from 1 species
GGCGAACGGGUGAGUAACGCGUGAGGAACCUGCCUCAAAGAGGGGGACAACAGUUGGAAACGACUGCUAAUACCGCAUAAGCCCACAGCUCGGCAUCGAGCAGAGGGAAAAGGAGUGAUCCGCUUUGAGAUGGCCUCGCGUCCGAUUAGCUAGUUGGUGAGGUAAUGGCCCACCAAGGCGACGAUCGGUAGCCGGACUGAGAGGUUGAACGGCCACAUUGGGACUGAGACACGGCCCAGACUCCUACGGGAGGCAGCAGUGGGGAAUAUUGCACAAUGGGGGAAACCCUGAUGCAGCGACGCCGCGUGGAGGAAGAAGGUCUUCGGAUUGUAAACUCCUGUUGUUGAGGAAGAUAAUGACGGUACUCAACAAGGAAGUGACGGCUAACUACGUACCAGCAGCCGCGGUAAAACGUAGGUCACAAGCGUUGUCCGGAAUUACUGGGUGUAAAGGGAGCGCAGGCGGGAGAACAAGUUGGAAGUGAAAUCCAUGGGCUCAACCCAUGAACUGCUUUCAAAACUGUUUUUCUUGAGUAGUGCAGAGGUAGGCGGAAUUCCCGGUGUAGCGGUGGAAUGCGUAGAUAUCGGGAGGAACACCAGUGGCGAAGGCGGCCUACUGGGCACCAACUGACGCUGAGG